rfam:Candidatus Burkholderia crenata strain TZHbot9 BCREchr_ctg443, whole genome shotgun sequence.
GCCUGGUGCCUGAAAGGGCAACGGCGUCGAGCCGGAGCGAGAAGUCAGCAGAGGCCAUAGUAGUCACAGGAUAGGC